rnacentral:tRNA from 1 species
AUCCACAUCAUAAGGACUGCAAGAGCAUAUCUCACAUCUAUUGAACGCAAAUCAAUCACUUUAAUUAAGCUAAGCCCUU